UGAUCCUGGCUCAGAUUGAACGCUGGCGGCAGGCCUAACACAUGCAAGUCGAGCGGAAACGACUUAACUGAACCUUCGGGGGACGUUAAGGGCGUCGAGCGGCGGACGGGUGAGUAAUGCUUAGGAAUUUGCCCAGUCGAGGGGGAUAACCAUUGGAAACGAUGGCUAAUACCGCAUACGCCCUACGGGGGAAAGAGGGGGAUGCUUUUGCACCUUUCGCGAUUGGAUAAGCCUAAGUGAGAUUAGCUAGUUGGUGAGGUAAAGGCUCACCAAGGCGACGAUCUCUAGCUGGUUUGAGAGGAUGAUCAGCCACACUGGAACUGAGACACGGUCCAGACUCCUACGGGAGGCAGCAGUGGGGAAUAUUGCACAAUGGGCGCAAGCCUGAUGCAGCCAUGCCGCGUGUAUGAAGAAGGCCUUCGGGUUGUAAAGUACUUUCAGCGAGGAGGAAAGGGUGUGAGUUAAUACCUUACAUCUGUGACGUACUCGCAGAAGAGCACCGGCU
rnacentral:rRNA from 2 species